GACGAACGCUGGCGGCGUGCCUAAUACAUGCAAGUAGAACGCUGAAGGAGGAGCUUGCUUCUCCGGAUGAGUUGCGAACGGGUGAGUAACGCGUAGGUAACCUGCCUGGUAGCGGGGGAUAACUAUUGGAAACGAUAGCUAAUACCGCAUAACAGUAGAUAUUGCAUGAUAUCUGCUUGAAAGGUGCAAUUGCAUCACUACCAGAUGGACCUGCGUUGUAUUAGCUAGUUGGUGAGGUAACGGCUCACCAAGGCGACGAUACAUAGCCGACCUGAGAGGGUGAUCGGCCACACUGGGACUGAGACACGGCCCAGACUCCUACGGGAGGCAGCAGUAGGGAAUCUUCGGCAAUGGACGGAAGUCUGACCGAGCAACGCCGCGUGAGUGAAGAAGGUUUUCGGAUCGUAAAGCUCUGUUGUAAGAGAAGAACGAGUGUGAGAGUGGAAAGUUCACACUGUGACGGUAUCUUACCAGAAAGGGACGGCUAACUACGUGCCAGCAGCCGCGGUAAUACGUAGGUCCCGAGCGUUGUCCGGAUUUAUUGGGCGUAAAGCGAGCGCAGGCGGUUAGAUAAGUCUGAAGUUAAAGGCUGUGGCUUAACCAUAGUACGCUUUGGAAACUGUUUAACUUGAGUGCAAGAGGGUAGAGUGGAAUUCCAUGUGUAUCGGUGAAAUGCGUAGAUAUAUGGAGGAACACCGGGUGGCGAAAGCGUCUCUCUGGGCUUGUAACUGACGCUGAGGCUCGAAGCGUGGGGAGCAAACAGG
rnacentral:rRNA from 1 species